rnacentral:lncRNA from 1 species
CCCAUCUCUACUGAAAAAUAUAAGUUAGCCGGGCAUGGUGGCAGGCGCCUUAAUUGUGGCUAUUUGGGAGGCAGAGGCAGGAGAAUCCUUGGAACCCGGGAGGUGGAGGUUGCAGUAAGCUGAGAUGGAGCCAUUGCACUCAAGCCUGGGGGACAAGGGCAAGACUUCUCUCAAAAAAAAAAUUUUUUUUUUAAUUUCUUGAUUCUAUUAGAGCAAGUCAUUUUUGCUUUCUGCUUUGAGAUCCUGAUCUCCCUGUAACAGACAAUGUAAGAGUAGUUUUUUCAUGACUCAGAAUCUGGCCUGGUUUAAUGCUAUAUUCAUACUAGAUGCUUUUGCAUUUUCUCUUUUUUAAACCAUUUAUUGCUUUUGUUUUUGUUUUUGUUUUUUGAGACAGAGUCUCUCUGUUGCCCAGACUGGAGUGCAGUGGCAUGAUCUGGCUCACCGCAGCCUCUGCCUCCCGUGUUCAAGUGAUUCUCCUGCCUCAGCCUCCUGCGUAGCUGGGAUUACAGGCGCCUGCCACCACACCUGGCUAAUUUUUGUAUUUUUAGUAGAGAUGGAGUUUCACCAUGGCCAAGCUGGUCUCAAACUCCUGGACUCAAGUGAUCCGCCUGCCUCCUAAAUUGCUGGAAUUACAGGCAUGAGCCAUCACACCCAGCCUUAAGCUAUUUAUUGACUUGUUGAGAGGAAAAACUCUAUCAAGAACAAUGGCAGCCUAGGCAACAUAGUAGGAUCCCAUUUCUAAGACAAUUUUAAAGUUAGCUCUUUGUGGUGAUACGCAGCUGAAGUUCCAGCUACUAAGAGGCUGAAGCGGGAGGAUAGUUUGAGCCCAAGAGUUUCAAGCUGUGGUGAGCUGAUUGUGUCACUGUACUCCAGCCUAGGUGACAGAGCAAG